rnacentral:rRNA from 1 species
CCAAUAGCGUAUAUUAAAGUUGUUGCAGUUAAAAAGCUCGUAGUUGAAUUUCGGGGUUCAUCCGUUGGUCGGGCUUUUUUGGUCUGUACUGGCGUGAUGGAUUCCUACCUCCUGAAUAACCAGCAUGUCAUUAAUUUGGUGCGCUGGGGAAGCAGGACUGUUACCUUGAAAAAAUUAGAGUGCUUAAAGCAGGCUAUCGCCUGAAUACAUUAGCAUGGAAUAAUGAAAUAGGACGGCAUGGUUCUAUUUUGUUGGUUUCUAGGAUCACCGUAAUGAUUAAUAGGGAUAGUUGGGGGCAUUAGUAUUCAAUUGUCAGAGGUGAAAUUCUUGGAUUUAUUGAAGACUAACUUCUGCGAAAGCAUUUGCCAAGGAUGUUUUCAUUAAUCAAGAACGAAAGUUAGGGGAUCGAAGACGAUCAGAUACCGUCGUAGUCUUAACCAUAAACUAUGCCGACUAGGGAUCGGACGAUGUUAAUUUUUUAAUGACUCGUUCGGCGCCUUACG